rnacentral:rRNA from 1 species
CCUACGGGGGGCAGCAGUGAGGAAUAUUGGUCAAUGGACGAGAGUCUGAACCAGCCAAGUAGCGUGAAGGAUGACUGCCCUAUGGGUUGUAAACUUCUUUUAUAUGGGAAUAAAACGUUCCACGUGUGGGAUUUUGUAUGUACCAUAUGAAUAAGGAUCGGCUAACUCCGUGCCAGCAGCCGCGGUAAUACGGAGGAUCCGAGCGUUAUCCGGAUUUAUUGGGUUUAAAGGGAGCGUAGGUGGGUUGUUAAGUCAGUUGUGAAAGUUUGCGGCUCAACCGUAAAAUUGCAGUUGAGACUGGCAGUCUUGAGUACAGUAGAGGUAGGCGGAAUUCGUGGUGUAGCGGUGAAAUGCUUAGAUAUCACGAAGAACUCCGAUUGCGAAGGCAGUUCACUGGACUGCAACUGACACUGAGGCUCGAAAGUGUGGGUAUCAAACAGGAUUAGAUACCCUUGUAGUC